rnacentral:lncRNA from 1 species
GAACUGCGACCUUUGGGUCCGAACCCGGCAUGUCUUGAUAACUCCAUGCAAAUACAUCUCGAUACUCUUGCAAAAGUUGUGUGUAUUCUUCUAACUCUUGCGGUAUCAGCGAAGCACAAAAAAAGAUGGGUUUUGGGCUAUCAGUUAUACCAAGAUUAAUUUCUUGGAGAUCAUUAAUCGUGGCUUGACCUCCCUCCUCCAAUUGUGGUUGAGCUGGUUGGACUAUGUCAAUGAAUUCCUCGACAUCUGGAGGGUUAUCGUCUUGACCCAC